UUAAUGUCAUCCCGCCUCUAAUACUCGUCCUUGUUCUGCUGACUUUGGACUUUGACUAUCUGGACUUAUUAUAGGAUCAAUACUCACAGUAUUUGCUCAAAUGUACUCAUCAGGUAAGACUAGAGUGGCCUUAACAUGCAGACAUGAAGUACACGUGUAUGCAUCCCUCAAAUCAAUAUUGGACAUUUCUGUUGAUUUUUAUGCUAGGUUUUGUUCAUCCGACCAUUUAAAGCAGGGGUGGGCAAAAUACGGCCCGGGGGCCACAUUUGGUCCGACAAGUUUUGAAUACGGCCCGACUGUUCUUUCCAAAGUAUUUCAUUUAAACUUACCAUACAACCUGGUUUAUCCUGGUAACCUGUUUUAUCAAAUUUGUUAUUUGACACGGUCUGCUGUUUACAAAGUGCUCCUGAAAAAAGGGACACAAGCACAUAUAGCAGAUUGCAUAACACUUUUACAGAUACAGUAAUUCCAGGUGGACUGUUACGUGUAAAAUACAUAAUUUGGCCUCCCCAUCAAUUUUGUUAAAUCAAUGCAACCCGCGAGUCAAAAAGUUUGCCCAACCCUGAUUAUUUAAAGUUUAAGAAUUUCAAUGUGUGACUCCUAAGAUGCCAUUGCUUCUGCACAAUAGAAAUGAAGAUACAUGUAGCCAUAUAAACAAUAUACCAAUACAAAUAUUUGCUUAUCACAGUAUAUUUACCUACAUUCAAAUUACAUUGAAAAAAAUAAAAACUUGUUUAUAUGAAGAGCUUGCAACCAAAAGGCGCUAAAUCCAAUUUUCACUAAGUUGCAUGUUUUUCAUGAGUUUAAUAGACCUCUGUCAUGUGUAUCCAAAUCACAUAUUUUGGUCUUGAAAUCAUUUUAAAAAAUAUGAAAAAAAGUGAUAUGAAAUGUAUGCUUUCAACCAAAAGGCGCUAUUUCCAUUUCAGAUUUCAACCAAAAGGAGCUAAAUCCCUUUCUUUAUUCUUUAUUCUGAUUGGCCCAAGUUUCCCAUCUAUUGAUAAUCUGACCAAUCAGAGAGAAGAAUACAAUUGACACUGCACAUACAGAAAGCCAGUAUCAGUGCGCAUCCUGUUUUGUUUGUGUACAUUAAGUACACGUAUGAUAGUUACAGUAUGUUAUGCAAUUCAGGAGAACACAAAUUGUGUUUUUACAGUAUUCUGUAACAUGGAAGUUUUUUUUACGCCAUAAAAGGCAUGUCUCUACCUUGACACCUCCAACUUUCAUGAGAAACAUUAUUUUACUUGUACUAAAAAACAUACAAUGUAAAGAGUUUGUAAUGAGAUGAUUUUUGUCACUGUCACCUUCAUGGUGCAGUCAAAUAUGAGCACUGCUUUUAAUAACAUUUUUAUUCAUUUAAUUCAUAAUAAUUAUUUUGUAUUGUAUGUUGAGAAUGGCUUCUGUGUUGUAAUUAUUUUAUUAGCAUAGCACAUUAAAGCACCUUACAUUCUUUUACAACAAUGCCAUUGAAGAAGUUAAAGGUGACUUCAAAUUUAUUUCAGCCAAAAAGGCGCUAAAUCCAUCAUUUCAGCCAAAAGGCGCUAAAUCCGAAAAAAAAAAUUAAAAGAAUAUAUAAAAUACAUGGUGUGUGCAGGAUUUUUAUAGCAUGCAUUUUAUGACCUAUAUUGAUAGCUCUUUCAUUUGCAAUAUAGACUUGAUGACCAAAUAGAUUGAUAUGUGCGUAAUUAAAAAUCAUUGAUUUUCUCAAAAUCAGUCAAAAUGGAUUUAGCGCCUUUUGGUUGCAAGCUCUUCAUAUGUGCCCUGUGAUUGGCUGGCCACCAGUCCAGGGUGUACCCCGCCUCUCGCCCGAAGACAGCUGGGAUAGGCUCCAGCACCCCCCGUGACCCUUGUGAGGAUAUGCGGUAGAAAAUGAAUGAAUGAAUGAAAAAUAAAAAAUAGGUUCAAGUAGCAUCAGCUACUGAUAUCGUCACAAUAUCAACAAAAAAAACAAUAUUCUAAAUAUGCUGUAUACAACAUGUAUGUGAUGUUGUGUUACAUAUGUUACGCAUAUGUUACACAUGUCACACAUAUGUUACACAUGUUACACACAUGUUACACACACGUUACACAUAUGUUGCGUUCAGCUGGCCACCACUGCCACGUUAAUAUUCAUAUUUAGCACCCAGUCUCAUUUUCAACCAUUUUUGAACAAUGUAAUAACAAAAACAGACAUUUUUCUGACGCGUGAUUAACGCUCGCACAUCCACCUCGGCCCACACUGUAGUUUGAGGAAAGGCGGCGGUGGACAUGGAGCCACAAGUGGGAACAAAUAUCGUUGAGAAACGGAGAUAGAAAAAAAAGGGUAUUUUGAUUGGUAAGUCCAGCUACACAGUAGUAUUUGUCACUUUUGUUAUUUAUACGGUGGCACCUUGGCAUGUCGGUGUUCCAGCUAGGCAGUGUUUUUAGAUACAAGCCGUCACUCGACUCGGAGAACAACACCACAAUUCCAAAAGUGUCCCACAAGGGGUGAAAAUACAACGUAAAACACAGCAGAGAAAAAAUACUUUCCCGGACAAAAAGACAGAAAGUAAUAAAGGUAAGAGUAGAGUGGAAGAAAUACUAAGAAGACAAAAGAACAGAAUGACCAGCAAUGCAUACAACAGAUCAAGCUACACAGGCAACAACAAUCUGGCGUCAAACAAGCUAACUAGAAGCUAACUUUACCGAUCAAAAUACUCUUUUAUUUCUCCAUUUUGCUCAAUAUUUGUUCCGCUUAAAAUGCAGAAUGGGACAAAGUUAGAUGGUGCGUUCAGGGACUGUCAAAAAAGUGGGAUAAGUCUCCGCUCGUGUUAAACAUGCAUGGGAUUUCUUGGAAAUAUUAUUACCAAAAUUGAUAUCCAUUUAUAUAAAUUUUGAUGUUGUUAUUUACACAUUUUUUAAGCAUUUCAUCAUUGGACGUGAAUGUUUCCCCAGGCCUGAUUGUUGGGGACCCCUGCCUCACAGCAUGCUGGGGGAUAUGAUGUGCUCUUUUACAGUAUAUUGUAAGAACGAUACUCGUAUACAAUUUCUUUAUUUUACAAUGUAAGAUUCUUGUCUACAUGAACAAACAGAACCAUAGAACCGCAUCAUAUCGAAUAGAACUGUUUUGUUUGUUAAACUACAUCAUUUUAAAAAUCGUAUCUUAACUCAUGUACCAAGAUGCGUCUCGAUUUUUACAUCCCUAAUUAUUAGAAAUAAAAACAUCUUCCUAUCUGGGAUAAACUCCUUCAAUGCCAGACUUUUUCAAAGACACGGAAUAUUGUAUUCUAUGGCUACCAAACCAUGGAGCCUACCGCAAGAAAUCAUCUUUCAUCAGGAAAAACGCUUUGUUUCUACCUUUAUCUGUUCUUUAGUAACCAGCAGUGGAACAUAGUUAAGUUUCAGGGAAAUAUCAGCUCCCGACUAAAGCAUCUUUUUGUGAAAAGAUACAUUUCAAAGCAUAACUUUGACACUAAUGUUGCCAUGUAUAGUUAGCCAAAUAUCAAUUCCCCCCAGAAGCUGGUGACACGACUGCAGUCAAAACAGCCACAAGGUGGCACCAACAUAUUGUGUAGUUACAUCAUCACCUCUUUAAAAGAACGUCUUUGGGAUCAGGCAUUUGGGUUGAAAGAAAUACUUAUUAAUUAUGAGUUAACUAUGUAGAAAAAGCAAUGAUUCAUUCAUCCUCAUCAGAGUGUAUGCCAGAGCCUAUCCCAGCUGACUUUGGGCAAGAGGCGGGGUCACAAAAUGCAGUUGAUAGUGAUGAAAUAUUUGAGUGGAUUGACAGCUGUGACUGGAUCACGUUAUUCAUUUGCUGAAGGGAUGUACUGGAAAACUGCAGCUAUUGUGUGUGUGUGUGCGUUUGUGUGUGCGUGUGUGUGUGUGUGUGUGUGUGUGUGAGAGAGCGCCUGGUGGCAAUAAGACAGAUGUGAUUUAGCUAAUGCUGUCUGAGAGCAGCAGGGCAGGGCUACCAAGAUGACAUCAUCUGCAGAGAGAGAGAGAGAGAGAGAGCGAGAGAGCAAUACAUACAAUAGAAUACAAGCGGUCCGGCCCCAGGCAGUGUGAGGAAGGAGGGCUCUCCCACACACCCCCCCACCCACCCACACCCCCCCACAUACAGAGACAACAGCAGGAUGCGUGAAAGCCUGAGAGGACCACUCAGCAUCGGGCUGACCGGGAUAUAAGACUCCGCCUGGAAGAUAUUCCCUCUACUGUUUUUACCCCCUCCCCUUCCCCUUUCCCCACCCCCCCACGGCAUUUGGCUCCAGCUUCAGGUGGAUCCUCCGGGCAUGCUCCUUAAGCCAAAGUAUGACCGCUUUCGCAACGAGUCAGUGACCUCCUCCGAUGACCUGAUGCAGAGCUUAGCCAUGAGCGGCAAAGUCGUGGGCACCCCCGUGGUCCCUUCUUCCGCCCCCAGCCUCCUCCCGCCUCCUCCGGACCCAGGGUCCUCGUCCUCGGCGGGGGCCGACGGCGCGCUGGCCGACUCCCCCUGCCUGGACGGAGAGCAGGACGGCACCACCACCUUCUGCAUGCUCAUCCCCAAGAUGCCGCAGUGGAAGUUCUCCAACUCCUUGCUCAGUCGGAGCCCAUCCAACUCCAGCUCCGGCUCCAGCUCCAGCAAGGACUCGGGGAAGGCGUCCUCCCAUGCAUCCCCUUCACCUUCUUCCUCGUCCCCGCACAGGCACGGAGCCGCGUCCUCAGCCGGGGGCCCCGUGGCCAGCCUGGCGGCGGUGCUCAACUCCUGUGACCCGGUGUGCGUCACCCCGUGUUCUCUGCAGGCCAUUCGGGGGCAGAGAGUCGUGGCCAACUCUAGCGGGCACACAUUCGGGGACGUCACGGCCAGCCCCGGGGGACACGGCGGCUCCAGAACGGGGGUGAGUCGCAGGACGAGGGCGGAGGGCAUGUGGCCUGGCGGAGAGGACAUGAGCCAGAAGGGAAGCUUCAUCCAUAAACCUUCCCAAGGGUGGCUGCACCCGGACAAGAAGAUCGCAGGACCAGGAGCCUCCUACAUCGUCAGGUACAUGGGCUGCAUUGAAGUGCUGAAGUCAAUGCGAUCCCUGGACUUCAACACGCGCACUCAGGUGACCAGGGAAGCCAUUAACAGACUGUGUGAUGCUGUGCCAGGCGGAAAAGGUGCUUGGAGGAAAAAGGCCCUGAACAAAGCGCUUCAGUCCAUCAUGGGGAAGAGCAACCUGCGCUUUGCCGGCAUGAGCAUCGCAGUCAAUAUUUCCAUAGACGGGCUCGGCCUGCUCAUUCCGACCACGCGCCAGAUGUUAGCACACCACCCCAUGCAGUCCAUCUCAUUUGCCUCUGGUGGAGACACAGACACACCGGAUUACGUUGCAUAUGUGGCCAAAGACCCGGUCAAUCAGAGAGCCUGUCAUAUUCUGGAGUGCUCCGACGGUCUGGCCCAGAGUGUCAUCAGCACCAUCGGCCAAGCCUUUGAGCUGCAGUUCAAGCAAUAUCUGCACAGUCCGCCUAAGACAUCACUGGAGAGGCCCUUCAGGACAGAGGAGCCCGUGUGGGCAGAGGAGGACGACUUUUCGGAGCACGACUACUAUAACAGCAUCCCGGGCAAGGAGCCUCCCGUUGGGGGAGUGGUGGACACAAGACUCCGGCCGAGUAAAUCCCAGCAGGGUCACAUCUUCACACAACCACAGAGCAUUGCUGUGGCGCAGAUGGGCUCACCAGCAAAAAGGGAACAAGCGGCUUUCCAUGCUAGUCAGCUUUGCUAUGAACUUCAUUGGGAUACUGAUGCAACCAGUGGCUCAGAUGGUUACCUCUGUGCUGACGGCCAAGCACAGAGCAGCAAGGACUACGAGGAGCACCAGUAUGUCAACACACAGAGUUUGGAGAACUUGGAUUCUUUGGCUCUGGGCCCCGAUGGACAGCGAGGGCUCAGGGGGCCCGACAGUCCCAAAAAGGACCUUUUUGACAUGAGACCUUUUGAGGAUGCCCUAAAGCUGCACGAGGCUGGCGCUGGUGUCUCUAUGGCUGAAUGCGGGGGCAUCCAGGUCCUGGAGGACCAGUGGCCGAGUCCUCCACGGCGCAGGGCCCCGGUGGCCCCAAAUGAGGAUCAGCUCAGACAGGAGAGCUGGUAUCACAGCCGCAUGAGCCGGCGAGAUGCCGAAAAACUGUUAGUCCGAGACGGAGACUUCCUGGUGCGGGAGAGCACCACCAACCUGGGUCAGUACGUGCUGACGGGCAUGCACUGUGGCUUCCCCAAACAUCUCCUUCUGGUGGACCCUGAGGGAGUGGUGCGGACCAAAGACAUGUUAUUUGAGAGCAUCAGCCACCUGAUCUCAUACCACCUGAAGAACCAGCUGCCCAUUGUGGCGGCCGAGAGUGAGCUCCACCUCAAACAGGUGGUGCGGAGGAAACAGUAGUGAGCCGCCUUGGGGACCCCAUUGGGACCUUGUGCAAAACCAAAUUGGGUGUUUAUGCCAAGUGGACACUUAGACCACGAAGAAUGAGACAUCACUUACUUACUUUUUCUGCCUUUUGGAUUCUCAUAUCAAGACAAAGUGGCCACAACUCCCCCAGCAUGCAGCUAUUAAGCUAAACUUUAAAAACAAAACACCAAGCCAAGGUGACAAACAACCCCAUGAGGACAUCCAGGAUUCCCUGCAGAGCCAUGAGUGUCACAUGACUUCUUUCAGCAGUUGAACAGGACAAUACACACCUUGGGAGUAAAAUGGACGUUACACUUACUCAUGGACACACCGCAACCUCUUACUCUCCUGAUAUCUGCCUCAUGAGCAAAAGCACCAUAUAGAAAAUAUAGAUUUCAUUCAUUUAUAUUGACUCGUGUGUUGUCACCCAAGUGUGGUGAAGACACAAUGGAUGUGCUGUAUACAAGCACUCACUGACCACAGCAUUACACUCUAUCACCAAAUACAGUCUUUCAAAAGAUAAUAACGCUCUCGCUACAUAUUGAUCUAAAUACAUUUAUUAUUACAGGGGUUUAAAAGAGCACUGCAUUUACCUCAUGGUAACCGCCCAACCGCGAUACCUGGGGCAAUAUUAGUCAAUUAAGCGGUAGAAAAUAAAUGAAUGUUUUCGUAGAUAAUGAUUUUCUAAAUAUGCUUUUAAACAUUAUUCGAGCCCCGUAGAGAUGAAAUAACAUUAGCUUUUACUUUUAAACUCCUAUAACUCCUUGUUUACAUCACAUUGCCCAGGCUACGGGAUCCCCGCAGGGACUUAACAGACGGCUGGUGCUAGCAUAGCAAGCUAGCUAACCAGUUAGCCCCGCCAAUGUACUUAUUGUAAGCCCGGGACUGACGCUAGGUGGCAGUCAUGUUACAUUAGCCACCACACCAACUCUUAAAAAGGACAACUCUCCUAAUGCAAACGUGAGUUAUUAUGGCUUUUUUCCUAUUACGUCUACUAUACCGGCUAAUGGGAGUCUAAAGAUGACUACAGGGGUAUUUCUUCAUGUCUAGGGGGCUCUAAAAGUGUAAAAAAGCGUAAGCGUAAAUAGGCUGUCUACCUACGAAAAUAUUCUGGAACCAAUUAAGCGCCAGCAACAGGCAGAGUUUUGCUUUGGAACUGCACCUCAGCUUACCAGGUGUACCCAAUGAAGUGGCCAGUGAACGUCCCCCCUCCCCGACCGGAAGUGAGGUUAGUUUGAAGUUGGAUAUUCAACAAACAUUCGGAGUUCCUGCCACACCGACCAUUUGGCGAUCUUUUCCCAGGAUUAGAAGCUCCUAAAUCAGCCACACACGGCGGGGUAUUCAGCCUGUUAGCAUAUCAGUUAGCAGCAGGGUAUGCCCUGGUUUAGGGAACGUCGGGAAAUUAAUGAGUUAAUGGCAGGUAGCAACAAUUUCCAAUCUUCAAUUUAUUUUUGGUCACGGGACUUACAACUAUCAAACAACUUUCACAUCGUCUGUUAGCUCGUUUUUUUAAUUUAAAAAUAUUUUGUUUAAAAAAAACAUUUCAAUCAUGAAUAUAUUUUUGGUCAUGUGACUUGGGACCCCCAACCACUUUACGAACGGCUCCUAAUCGUACAGUAUCCAUCAGUACCUGCUGACGAACGGUCAAUAUGAAUGCCGAAUGUCUGAUGAAUAUCCAAGUUCACCUCGGGAACCCGACCCUCAGCUUGUCCCGAACUUUAGUGCCUUAAGAACCACAAGGACAGGCCUCUAGUGUUGUAAAAAGACUGUUAUCUUUUGCUAUGCCAAUGAAAGUGAAAGUGCUUGGAAGCAGCUGCUGGUUUUUCGCCUAAAUAACAUAACAUGUCGCUUCACGUCCGACUUCCGAAUCAGGGAAACACCAUCUAGUGUACAUGACGUCAUACAGUACAGUGCACAGUGGAGGCCGCUUAUCUAUUAUCUAUGUGGUCAUUUCUAUGUCACACAUACAUACAUACAGCAGGGGUGUCCAGGGUGUGGCUCAGGGGCCACUUCUAAAAAUAUCAAUGAAGUAAGUUGGAAUAUUAGAGGAAAAAACAAGACGGUAUUGUUUUGCCACUUGCGACACAUUUGAAAAAUAUUGAACAAUAAAACGUAAAAAAAAUGAUGUUAAUGGCGCUGAGGCGAGCGGUCAGUGUGUUGUGUGUUUAGUAUCAGUGUGCCAAGAAAAGAAGUUUGGGUAAUGUUUUAAAUCAUCCAAAUAGGGCAUGAUACUGCAACUAUUACCUGUGUACGUGUUAAUACAUGUACACAUUUUUUUAUUUUUUUUUUACAGAGCUUUGUAGUCUAAAUAGGUAUAUCCCAAUGACAGUAUUGUUAGUAUUGUUAGUAUCUCAAAUUACUGUAUUUUCUGGACUAUAAGUCGCCCUGGAGUAUAAGUCACACAAUGCCAAAAAUGCAUAAUUAGGUAGAAAAUAACAUACAUAAGUCGCACUGGAGUAUAAGUCACAUUUUUGCGGGUAAUUUAUUUUACAAACUAGACCAAAACCGACAUUACAAGUUCUAACAAUAAUAAAAGAAUAGAGAACAGGCUGAAUAGGUGUAAGAUAUGCUAACACAAUGCUUAUUCAGCUACACAAAAAUAAACAUGAACAGAAACGGUGUCCAGUGUUUAUGUAACAUAAACAGUUUUUUCCAUUUAUAAGUCGCUCUGGAGUAUAAGUCACAGGAACAGCCAACCUAUGAAAAAAAGUGUGACUUAUAGUCCGGAAAAUACGGUAACUCCUUUUCUAGUGUUGUAAUGCACAGAAAGGGGAAAUAAAUAUGUGUUCAUGUUUCACAUAAGGAUUGGGAAUGAUGGGCAACAUUCAAAAAAAGUGCACGUCCCCUUUUUUCAAAUGGGGGGGUAUGUGAUGUUACACAUAUCAGUAUUGGUUGAUAUUGGAAUGGGAAAUUGAGAGAUGGACAAUAUCCGUUAACAUUGAGUAGAACAUUAGUAGAAUAAAGUUGAAAUAUGAGUUUUUAAGGGGGACCUAUGGUGUCUGUUCCAAGUUUCUGACCUAUAAAUGGAGUUAGAAUGUUGUAGUCUGGUGUUAAACCAUGCCCAAGUUUCAGAUAAGUAAAUUUUGGGAUGCCUCAAAAUGCUCAUUUUGAAAAGGCGUGGUCAAACUGUUCCGCAGAGGGGUGGACUUCCUUAUAUGGUUCAUAGUUAGGAAGCACUUUGGGUGUGUGACCGGAGGCGGGGCCGCUGGUGGAAUAAACUAAAACAGAGCAUUAUGGAAUAGGUGCAGAUUCUGUGAGAUCUAAAAAGGUUAUCGUGUGUAGCUGCUGAAUACAACUGGUGGAAAAUGAGCAUGAUGGGUCCCCUAAUAUGAUUUUUGGAACAUUAGGCAGCAGAAGAAGUUCUAAUGAAUGAAGUCAAACUAUGAUGAUAAUAAAGUUGAAAUUGUUGGACAAAAAAAGAAAACAGCAACAUUGAAAAAUGUAAAGAAAUAUUAGAAGAAUGAAGUGAAAAUAUUGAUGAGAAAAAGCAAAGUGUCAAAAUUGCAUCCUUGCAUUCAUCACGCGGCCCACCUUACAUGACGGAGGGCACAGUGAGUGUAAAUAUAGAAAUAGAAAGUGUCGGACUUCCUGUUUUGUGAUAAACGCCUUCCACUGUAACACAUUAACUAUAACUUUACCACUUAGGAUUCUCCUUGGCUGCAGUUCUUUUUCUUUCUCAGGAAUCUCUCCUCUUGAUGACAAUGUAUGAUGGAUGCCCUUGUCAAUCAAUAAACACAGAACAGAAAUCACUGGGUGUGCGUUUGGGGAGUGCUUCCAGCAGGACCACCGUGGAAUGGAGAUGUUUUAUUACCAGAAGAUGGAAUAUAUCUUGUUCAAAUAACAAUCUCAUUCAUUCAUUCAGCGUCUACUAGUUGCUAGUACAGUACACAUACACUGUAUCAUAUCAUGUACA